AAGAGAGCUUAUCCGUAGACAG
rnacentral:miRNA from 1 species